AUAUUUGCCUGCCCAGUUAGGGUUAAAGAAACUUAAAAUCCUUGUGAUCCUAAACCUUAAGGUAAAUUACAAUGUAAUCCUUUUUCAAUCAGGUUGUGUCAGGUGUCAAUGUAAGCUCAAGUGAUUUAUCUUCCCCACCUGUAGUAACAUAUGUUGAAGAUAGACCUCCUGAUGUAUAUCCUGCCAGUUCUUCAGAUGGCUCUCAAGAACCUGUAACAUAUUAUCCUACACCUCCAGGGUACGUAAUGGCACCACCAUGGAUGUGGAUGAUGAUGUAAAAUAUUUUUAAUGUGUUUGGAUGUAGAUGAUGAAUGAUUUUAUUAAUUCUCUAAUUUUAUGCUAUAAAAAAUUCCAUAUGUAUAACUUAAUUGUGUGCCUUUGUCUUUAUGAGAUAACUUUCAAUACAUGUCAUUACAAUUCUGAUGUUUAGAGACCAUUUUGUAUCAAGGUUGUUAUAUUAGAAUUGAAUAGUAAUAGUGUACAUAUAUAAAAUUAGUAUUUUUCAUGUUUCUUCUACUGAAUAUUCAAUGAAUAAAUACUGUUUCUUGUUUAAGUGAAGACAUUUUGAGUGUUAGAAUUUGGCACAAAUUAUAUAUGAUUAAAGUAAACAUUCCACUUGUUCCUUUUAUUUCAUAAGAAUUAUAAAGAAAAAGGCGGUUAUUGUGCAAAAGUUGAAAGUAUUUUAUAUUUUUCCCAUUUUAGAGGCACUGCAGCACAUUACAUUUUCAUAAAUACAGUAACAUGUUUGCAAUGUAUAUAAUUUGGUAUAUACUUGCUUAAAAGGUCAGUGGCCAUCUCUGUACUAAGUAUGGGUCUCAUUUAUUUAAUUCUAUUUUAUUUAUUAGUUCUGGUAUAGAUUCCCACUAGAAAACAUGAUUCCCUAAUAAUAAUAUUAUUAUUACUGUUUCUUCAGGAAGUACUAUUUUUUUUUAACUUUUUUGAGGAAGUCCCUUUUUUUAAUUUAGAAAUUUGUGUUAAAAUGUAUUAAUACUACACUACUGUGUAAACUGAACCAAGUGCCUUAAUGGUGUCCGUCCCAAACUAGUUGUUGUUUGCCUUACAUUGUAAAAUCUAGUAUAUCUAGUCUUAAAUCAAAGCUACAUUUUGUAAACAUGUUUACUACAAGUUUUGUACUAAUUGUAGACUGUAUUUGAACAUUUUUAUCACAACGUUUCAAUGUGAAAAUGGGCUUAAAGUUUCUAGUGAAAUACACUGAAAAUUUAAGGAAAUUUUCUUGCUGUACUUAUAAAAAGUUUUCAAGCACAAAUGUAAGUACUUUACAUAAUAAGUUUACAAGCACAAAUAUAUGUCCCAUACAUACUUGUUAUGUAACAUUAAUUAAUGGUUUCAGGCCAUUGUAAAAUUAAAUAUAUAUUUAUUUGUUAAUUUAUAGGUCUGGUAUUAAGUACCUGUAAUGAAAAAUUAUUUCUUUUCCUUAAGUACUUGAAUUGUUGUUUUUUGUCAAAGGUGUAACAUUUGUUUUUGUCAGAUACUCUAUUUUGUUGCCAUUUAGUUGCAGACAUUUUAUUCUAUUAAGUGGCAUAUAAAAAUAUUUAGUACUGCAAUAGCACACUAUUGUAAUUUUGUAUUUGAUAACUAUGAUUGUGUGAUAUCAUAAGACUAAAUUCUGUUAUCUAGUCGUAGAGAUUGAGGAUACUUUUUGUAAAAGUUUGUAUUUACUGCCAUUUUCCAAAAUUAAUAAAUGUAAAAAUAAAAGAUAAGAUAACUUUUAUACUUUUUAUGUAACAUGGCAGAGUAAUUCAAGAGACCUAACAAUUUUUCCAAAGUUUCAAUAAAAGACCUGUUGAGUGGGGAAAGUUUAAUCUUAAUUAUUAUGAAAUACUGUAACUGCUUCCCUUAUGACGAGUUACUCCAAGACCAGAAAAAAAAGAUUAUUGGAAUUUUCAUAGGAAUGAUAUGAUUAAACUUUUGUUCAUCUAGAAACCAGUUACUACUACUAUUCUUAUGAUAUAAAGAUUAACUGUGAAACUUAAAUUAACAUGACCAAAAUGCCAUAAUCAAAUUUAAAUUAAAUUACUGGUUCUUUCAUGUUUACAAAGUUCACUGUAAACUCACCACUCAUAAAUAGCUUUUAUUCUGUGUAAUGACUCUCUUAGCUGAACCAGAUUUCUGAAUUCUGGCAGCAAAGUGCUGUCAUCACACAAGGCCUUUUUCUUUUCCAUGUGAUCCAUUGCACACUGAUAUUUUCCGAGUUAUUCUUCCAAAAUUAGCAUCAAUUGCAUUUUCAGGAUUUGCCAUUAUUUUUAUUCUUUAAUUCAUGUAUAUUUCUUCAUUUUGAUGGUGUUUUGUAAUGAUUUGCAAAUAAUUGUUUUGUUUUUUCUAGGCCAGUGUUGUCACUUAACAUUGAUUAGUUACUCAAGUAAUGUCGUUAUGUUUCAGUGACUAAUUUCCGCAAUUUCAACCUGGGAAUUGGUUUUUUAUCAUUUUAUUUAGGUUAUUUUCUUUUUUUUCUGCAGUCAUGAAAUUCUUUCAGUAAUAAUUUUUAGUAACAAUUUUUUUUCAUAUUACAGUUUUUUCCUGUGAGUAAUUUCACAGUAACGGUAUAUUUAAUUCUUGGUUUAUCAUUUUGUGUUUUUUUAUUGCAGUGCUGAUUUCUACAUUUUGUUUUUGGUAUUAGUUUACGGUUAAUAAUCUUUCAUUAAUUUUUAACAUUUUUAAAUUUUGCACAUUUUAUGGUUUUACAUUCCCUGUUGUGUGUGGUUUUGGGAAAUUUUAUCCAUGAUUUUCAUUAUCCCACAAUGUAAUUUUUAGGGUGUGGAGAUAUGCUUGUAGCUCAGUUAUAUCUUGUCAACUUAGUAAAAUAUAAAGUAAUGUGUAUUUUGCUAACAUACAAAACUGAUGGUCUUUACAUAAGGUUUACCAUACAAACAUGAGCUGGAACGGCCAUUUAUCUUUCAAACAAGGUCGUUAGCUACCAAGGGUAGAGGGGAAGCCCUGCCCACUCAUCAGUCUGCACUUCACUUUGCCUUUUAGCCCAGAUACCAGAAUGAGCGUUGGCUUAGGUGGGCAGUAAAGACCUUCAGGUUUGUGUGGUAGGAAAAUUAUAAAUUAAAACUUUGUAUUUGUUCCUACACAAAUACAAAUUUUUGGUCUUUACAUAGAAGACUUACCCAUUGAAGGGUAGAGCCUGGGAAAAUCUCCAAACUAACUGGAAUUUCUACCCAGCUGGGAAUCUUCUCUGGUCUUGAAGAGCUGAGAAAGGAGUCCUUUACGUCUAGCGUGUUGAACAUAUAGGAUGUUCAACUGUCCGACUUCGGGGCAUGAAUUAAUGAGUUUGCGUCAUUAAAUUGAUAAAAAGGCUUGGAUGCGUGCAUAAUGUCGGAGACAAUAAAAGGCUAAUGAAAACUAACAGGUUUGUUUCAUUGACAACCACUCUCCCCCUUGCUAGAGAGAGGGGGGAGGACUUUUAUCUAAUAAUCUACAAUAGCUUAUAGACAGGAAACUCAGUUAUCUAGACUUGAUUGCAUUACACACCUGUUCAGAAUGUGAUGGCUCACAACCUGGCUCUCUGCCCUACGAGAGAGAGGUAAAAAAUGAGAUAAAAACUUAAAAGACCCUUUUUUGAUUGUGCAUUCGCUGUCUUGUCCUCAUGGAGUAAACCUUUCCAUGGUCUGUCCAGAGCUCCAUGGUGCCCAGACUAAUGUCAAAGAAUUCUCUCAACUACAUUAAGGGGUCAGUUGCCUGAUGUAUCUUCUAAACUGCCUUCUGUCAAAGGCAUCCUCCACCAACAUCAGUCAUGGUUUAUUGUUUGGGUAAGGGGAUUUUACUACUGCAUGCCCUUGCAGUCAUCAACCACAAUUAUUGGUGGUAAUCCUUACCUUUGACUAAUAAGUUCACCUGCAAGGCAGCAGAUUCGACAGUUAUUGGCAAUGGGCCUAGCCUUUUAUACUAAUGUAAGACUGCAAGGCAGAAGCUGCCAUUUUGGUUGCUUUACGACAUGCAGGACCUAUGGUGGUAGUAUUCUUACACCAACACCACAGCACGUGAUAGAGUGUAAAUGGACUCAGGAUAAGAAUGCACUUUCUAUUAUCCUCAGCAAAUGCUAAUACCCAGUUUUCCUACUACAUCAAAACUACAAGAAGAAAUGGUUGUGCGCAUAUGCACAGUCAUAUUGUUUACAUACAACCAAAAUCCGACCAAGACGCCAUUCCUUUCUCAGGUCAUGCAAGAAACCAGAGCUCGUAGAAAUCCAUUCUUUGCAAAGUGCAUAGUUUUAAGUUCUAGUUUAAACAAAUUUUUAUUUAGACUGUAGAGCAAUAAUUUAUUGUGAGUGAAAAGCCAUAAUCGGCUUAUUUCAUCAGAGCUUCUUACGAUUCAUGAUCGUUAGGCUGGCUCCAAGAAUGUUGUUCUUCAUUUUUUAAUUUCAUUACAGAGAUUCAUGGAAACACAGUUGAAAGCUGUGUACAAUUUUAAGUUUCAGUUAAAAAUUUUUAGUUUAUGUGAAACAAUGAUUUUAGCAUUUGUGAAAAGCUGAAAACCAUCACUUUUCACCAGUACUACAAGUCGGCACUAGCAAUUUAUGACCGUUAUCUCCGAGAGUUUCAUUCUUUGCUUAUUAAUUUCAUUACCGAAGUUCAUGGAAACUUCCAACUUGAAAGCUGUGUAUGUAAUUUCAAGUUCCAUCUAAAAAAAAUUUUAGUUUAGAGUGUGAAACAAUGAUUUUAUUGUGUGUGAAAAGCUGUAAACCAAUGGCUACACAUCAGCGCUUCUUACAAUUUGCGAUCAUUAGCUGCUUGUAGAAGCAAAUGUUAUUUUGAAGAAUUUAUCAUUCUAUUUGUUAGUUUUAUAUAGAGAAAUGUUUCACAAUUAUUAUUAAUAUAAUAGAUAAUUGGACGUUUCUCCUUCCCCUUCUUCCAGGCUUAUUUCUACUGUUUUCUCAUCCACUGAUACUGAUGCCUUGUCUCCUUCCUUUUCUUCCUUGGAUUCGUCUUUGGAAGCGUCGGGAGUUGCUCUGGGUAAUUUUAUGUAUAAUGCUGCCCUGUCUCUCUCAGGCAGGGAAUAUAUUAAUAAUAAUAAUAAUAAUAUGCAGGUAGGAGACCCUCCCUCAAACAUGUUUUGUUAAAAAGGAUGGCAGCAUCAGUGAAAUUGAUUUUAUAUGUGGUCUUUUCAAUUCUUCUUAUUACUUUCUUCUCAUCAGCAUCAGGGGUGAUAUUUGCUAAUAGCUGGCCAAUGUUCAUAGUCUGGUUAAGGAAAUGU